AAGGGCGCACGGUGGAUGCCUUGGCACUAGAAGCCGAUGAAGGACGUUACUAACGACGAUAUGCUUUGGGGAGCUGUAAGUAAGCUUUGAUCCAGAGAUUUCCGAAUGGGGAAACCCAGCAUGAGUUAUGUCAUGUUAUCGAUAUGUGAAUACAUAGCAUAUCAGAAGGCACACCCGGAGAACUGAAACAUCUUAGUACCCGGAGGAAGAGAAAGAAAAUUCGAUUCCCUUAGUAGCGGCGAGCGAAACGGGAAGAGCCCAAACCAACAAGCUUGCUUGUUGGGGUUGUAGGACACUCUAUACGGAGUUACAAAGGACGACAUUAGACGAAUCAUCUGGAAAGAUGAAUCAAAGAAGGUAAUAAUCCUGUAGUCGAAAAUGUUGUCUCUCUUGAGUGGAUCCUGAGUACGACGGAGCACGUGAAAUUCCGUCGGAAUCUGGGAGGACCAUCUCCUAAGGCUAAAUACUCUCUAGUGACCGAUAGUGAACCAGUACCGUGAGGGAAAGGUGAAAAGCACCCCGGAAGGGGAGUGAAAUAGAACCUGAAACCGUGUGCUUACAAGUAGUCAGAGCCCGUUAAUGGGUGAUGGCGUGCCUUUUGUAGAAUGAACCGGCGAGUUACGAUUUGAUGCAAGGUUAAGCAGUAAAUGUGGAGCCGUAGCGAAAGCGAGUCUGAAUAGGGCGUUUAGUAUUUGGUCGUAGACCCGAAACCAGGUGAUCUACCCUUGGUCAGGUUGAAGUUCAGGUAACACUGAAUGGAGGACCGAACCGACUUACGUUGAAAAGUGAGCGGAUGAACUGAGGGUAGCGGAGAAAUUCCAAUCGAACCUGGAGAUAGCUGGUUCUCUCCGAAAUAGCUUUAGGGCUAGCCUCAAGUGAUGAUUAUUGGAGGUAGAGCACUGUUUGGACGAGGGGCCCCUCUCGGGUUACCGAAUUCAGACAAACUCCGAAUGCCAAUUAAUUUAACUUGGGAGUCAGAACAUGGGUGAUAAGGUCCGUGUUCGAAAGGGAAACAGCCCAGACCACCAGCUAAGGUCCCAAAAUAUAUGUUAAGUGGAAAAGGAUGUGGCGUUGCCCAGACAACUAGGAUGUUGGCUUAGAAGCAGCCAUCAUUUAAAGAGUGCGUAAUAGCUCACUAGUCGAGUGACACUGCGCCGAAAAUGUACCGGGGCUAAACAUAUUACCGAAGCUGUGGAUUGUCCUUUGGACAAUGGUAGGAGAGCGUUCUAAGGGCGUUGAAGCAUGAUCGUAAGGACAUGUGGAGCGCUUAGAAGUGAGAAUGCCGGUGUGAGUAGCGAAAGACGGGUGAGAAUCCCGUCCACCGAUUGACUAAGGUUUCCAGAGGAAGGCUCGUCCGCUCUGGGUUAGUCGGGUCCUAAGCUGAGGCCGACAGGCGUAGGCGAUGGAUAACAGGUUGAUAUUCCUGUACCACCUAUAAUCGUUUUAAUCGAUGGGGGGACGCAGUAGGAUAGGCGAAGCGUGCGAUUGGAUUGCACGUCUAAGCAGUAAGGCUGAGUAUUAGGCAAAUCCGGUACUCGUUAAGGCUGAGC
rnacentral:rRNA from 1 species